rnacentral:rRNA from 1 species
ACGGCUCAGUAACACGUAGCUAACCUACCCUUAGGACGUCGAUAACCCCGAGAAAUUGGGGCUAAUAGACGAUAGGUGUGAUGUCCUGGAAUGGUAUCACGCCCAAAGGUAUCCCAUACAUGUUUGGUAUACGCCUAAGGAUGGGGCUGCGGCCGAUCAGGCAGUUGGUGAGGUAAUGGCUCACCAAACCUUCGACCGGUACGGGCCAUGAGAGUGGUAGCCCGGAGAUGGACACUGAGACAAGGGUCCAGGCCCUACGGGGCGCAGCAGGCGCGAAACCUCCUCAAUGCACUAACGUGCGAAGGGGUUACCUCGAGUGCCACCUGAAGAAGGUGGCUUUUCCUUGGUCUAAAAAGCCUCGGGAAUAAGAGGGGGGCAAGACUGGUGUCAGCCGCCGCGGUAACACCAGCCCCUCGAGUGGUGGGGAUGAUUAUUUGGCCUAAAGCGUCCGUAGCCGGCCGGGUAAGUCUCCCGUUAAAUCCAACGUCUCAAGCGUUGGACUGCGGGAGAUACUGCCUGGCUAGAGAGUGAGAGAGGUCAGCGGUAUUCUGGGGGUAGGGGCGAAAUCCUUUGAUCCCCGGAGGACCACCAGUGGCGAAGGCUGCUGACUAGAACACGUCUGACGGUCAGGGACGAAAGCUGGGGUAGCGAACCGGAUUAGAUACCCGGGUAGUCCCAGCCGUAAACGAUGCAUGCUAGGUGUUGGGUUGGCCACGAGCCACCCCAGUGCCGCAGGGAAGCCGUUAAGCAUGCCGCCUGGGAAGUACGAUCGCAAGAUUGAAACUUAAAGGAAUUGGCGGGGGAGCACCACCAGGCGUGAAGCCUGCGGUUUAAUUGGAGUCAACGCCGGG